UACGGGGGGGAGCAAGCGUUGUUCGGAUUUACUGGGCGUAAAGGGCGGGUAGGCGGCCACCGCAAGUCGACUGUGAAAUCUCCGGGCUUAACCCGGAAAGGUCAGCCGAUACUGCGGGGCUAGAGUGCAGAAGGGGCAACUGGAAUUCUCGGUGUAGCGGUGAAAUGCGUAGAUAUCUGGAGGAACACCGGUGGCGAAGGCGGCAUCCUGGACCGGGAUUGACACUGAGGCGCGAAAGCCAGGGGAGCAAACGGG
rnacentral:rRNA from 1 species